GAUGAACGCUGGCGGCGUGCCUAAUCCAUGCAAGUCGAGCGAACGGACGAGAAGCUUGCUUCUUUGAUGUUAGCGGCGGAAGGGUGAGUAACACGUGGAUAACCUACCUAUAAGACUGGGAUAACUUCGGGAAACCGGAGCUAAUACCGGAUAAUAUUUUGAACCGCAUGGUUCAACAGUGAAAGACGGUCUUUCUGUCACUUAUAGAUUGAUCCGCGCUGCAUUAUCUAGUUUGUAAGGUAACGGCUUACCAAGGCAACGAUGCAUAGCCGACCUGAGAGGGUGAUCGACCACACUGGAACUGAUACACGGUCCAGAAACCUACGGUAGGCAGCAGUAGGGAAUCUUCCGCAAUGGGCGAAAGCCUGACGGAGCAACGCCGCGUGAGUGAUGAAGGUCUUCGGAUCGUAAAACUCUGUUAUUAGGGAAGAACAUAUGUGUAAGUAACUGUGCACAUCUUGACGGUACCUAAUCAGAAAGCCACGGCUAACUACGUG
rnacentral:rRNA from 1 species